CGUCAAAAUACAACCAUAUUUCGGUCUCGUAUUACAUGUAUCAAUUUUCAUGUAUGAUGUAAACAUGAUCGAGUCGAAAUAUGCUUGAAGUGGUUGCUGUGAUUCGAAACAUCAUGGGUUCUUGUACAGAUGACCUGUUUCAACACGCGCUUGUAAAGACCCUUCAAAGACUGGACAAAGCCGGACUGGAAAUUAAAGAGAAGCAAUACGAAGCUUUAUCAUCGUCUGUUGUAAGGAUUAAGGAACAAGAACGAUAUGUGACAUGUCUAAACGGUGUGUGUCUGUUUACUGGGUUACAACAACGGCGAUAACAAUGAAUCACCCAACAUUUCAAGAAAAUAUAAAUUAUAGAUAGAUGUCAUGCAUGACUCCAUGAGUUUUGAAUUUGAAUUGCUAGAUUUGAAUCUAUAUUAUGUAUACAAAAUCAUGCGUGCGUAAAUUUGAGCAAAAAAGCACAAGUGUAAAGGUGUUUGUUUGGCCAUAUGCCCAUCAUGUAGUAUGAAUAUUGAACACAGUUUUAUAUAGCACGUUUAAAACGUUAUUUCCAUGCCUGAUAAUCCUGAAUCCUUCACCGAUUACAUGUGUGGCAAAUGACGAAAAAUUAUUAUGUAAAAUAAUCAACCUAAUAUGUCUUUGGCCAUGAAUGUGACUCACUAUGCUGCUUACAUCUGAUAGUCAAAACUAUGUGCAUGAUUGUAUGGCCCAAUGUAUGUCUCAGGGAAAUUUUUGUUUUCAGAUUACAGUAUAACAACAAUAUUGUGUCCAUUCCAAUAUAUUUUCUACAUGCAAGUUCGCCUUCUCACCUUCUGUUUCAGAUAGGGGCCAAAUCAUUUGAG